GACGAACGCUGGCGGCGUGCUUUAACACAUGCAAGUCGAUGGGAAGUGGUGCUUGCACCAUGGUAACCAUGGCGGACGGGUGAGUAACGCGUAAGGAACUUGCCUGCGGGACUGGGAUAACAGCAGGAAACUGCUGAUAAUACCGGAUAAGGUCAUUAAGCUGCAUAGCUUAGUGAUGAAAGGAGACGCCUGCGGAGAGCCUUGCGUCCUAUUAGCUAGUUGGAGGGGUAACGGCCCACCAAGGCGAAGAUAGGUAGCCGGCCUGAGAGGGUGGACGGCCACAAGGGGACUGAGAUACGGCCCUUACUCCUACGGGAGGCAGCAGUGGGGAAUAUUGGACAAUGGGGGCAACCCUGAUCCAGCAAUUCUGUGUGCACGAAGACGGUUUUCGGAUUGUAAAGUGCUUUCAGCAGGGAAGAAGGAAGUGACGGUACCUGCAGA
rnacentral:rRNA from 1 species